rnacentral:rRNA from 1 species
CCUACGGGGGGCUGCAGUAGGGAAUCUUCCGCAAUGGACGCAAGUCUGACGGAGCAACGCCGCGUGAGUGAAGAAGGAUUUCGGUUCGUAAAACUCUGUUGUUAGAGAAGAACAGCGCAUAGAGUAACUGUUAUGCGUGUGACGGUAUCUAACCAGAAAGCCACGGCUAACUGCGUGCCAGCAGCCGCGGUAAUACGUAGGUGGCAAGCGUUGUCCGGAUUUAUUGGGCGUAAAGCGAGCGCAGGCGGGCAAUUAAGUCUGAUGUGAAAGCCCCCGGCUCAACCGGGGAGGGUCAUUGGAAACUGGUUGACUUGAGUGCAGAAGAGGAGAGUGGAAUUCCAUGUGUAGCGGUGAAAUGCGUAGAUAUAUGGAGGUACACCAGUGGCGAAGGCGACUCUCUGGUCUGUAACUGACGCUGAGGCUCGAAAGCGUGGGUAGCAAACAGGAUUAGAUACCCCUGUAGUC